CGUCCUUGCGUCUAAUGUUGAGUGUUCCUGCCUGUUCCUUCGUUUUCCCUGUUCUGGAUUCUUCCCUGUGUUUUUGGAUCGCCUUGUGUUUCUGGAUUUCCUUUGUUUGGACUUUGCCUCGAGCUCCAUCCCACAACCAUCUCCCUCCCACGCACUGGCCUCUCUUGUGACUUCCUCAUUUUCUCCCAGACUCCUUUCCGGUAGAUCAGGAUGCAGGAGGAUGUGUGGAUGUUGGAACAAGUCAGACCUCAGGCUCAGGCCGCCUGGAAGCAGCAGUGCUCUCUACUUCGGCGCUGGAUGACUGCAGGAUUAGACUUGCCUGGUGUGACAUUGAUAACAACUUGCAGGUACACAUAAAACAAGCAAAUGAUGCAGCAUAUGCUGCCUUCAAGUGCUCAUCAUACAUCUGAUUUUGGCAACUCUCAAUUUUGGACUGCAGGACCUUCAAGGACAUUCUGCUGUAAAAUAAAUAAAUAAGUAAUUAAUUUGUAAAGUGUUACCCAUGUCGGCAACUCCAGUAUUAUCCAAACCCCUCCCCUGUCAUAUUUAUUUACUUAGUUGGCUUAUUUAUGUGGGCUCAAUUUGUAAUUAUGAUAUCUCUGACAGCAGACAGCCAUUCAACAGCUGUGGGGGUUGUUGUGAUCCUAGCUAAGUCAUUUGAAAAAAAGCAGAGUUUGCUGUGGACAGCUGUAGAUACAGAUUAUUUUGGGGUGUUUGGAGAGCAAGGUACCAUUGGAAGUGGAGAGCCAGGCCCUCAAUGGCUCUCACUCCCCCUGUGACAAAAUGAUGGGGGGAAGGGAAAGACUCACUUAUGCUCACACAGUAUGAACAGAUACAAGGACACAUAUAGCACUCCAGGGACUACGCUGGCAUACAACUGUUCACUUCAGUAUAAAGAUUUUUGGACAGUUGAUACUGGUACAGAGACAGACAAGAAACAAGACAACAAACAAUUAAGAACAAAAAGGAUCAAAGAGGAUGUUGCGGUUAUGCAUCUUAAACAUAGCCCACUAUAAAGUAGUUUAAUGGAGAAAAAAAGCAUCCGUUCACAGCGGACUACAGUACAAUAUUUGUUUGAAGGAGUUCAAAGGGUAUCUUUUACUAUUAAAAUAUUUGAGGAUGACUUUUGAUGUUUAGUGACAUAGUUUAGUGUAGUAUAGAAUACGAUUGAACAAACCUGGCAUGUCACAUUUGUUCCACAGGUGAGAUACUCUAACAACAAGAAAGCAUUGUAAUAAUAUAAAUAGUAGAGAAACUCAGU